AACCUCCGCAAUGUGAGAAAUCGCGACGGGGGGAUCCCAAGUGCCAUUCUUAACGGGAUGGCUUUUCAUUAGUGUAAAGAGCUUUUGGAAUAAGAGCUGGGCAAGACCGGUGCCAGCCGCCGCGGUAACACCGGCAGCUCUAGUGGUAACAAUUUUUAUUGGGCCUAAAGCGUCCGUAGCCGGUUUAAUAAGUCUCUGGUGAGAUCCUGUAGCUUAACUGUGGGAAUUGCUGGAGAUACUAUUAGACUUGAGACCGGGAGAGGUUAGAGGUACUCCCAGGGUAGAGGUGAAAUUCUGUAAUCCUGGGAGGACCGCCUGUUGCGAAGGCGUCUAACUGGAACGGUUCUGACGGUGAGGGACGAAAGUUAGGGGCGCGAAACCGGAUUAGAUACCCGGGUAGUCCUAACUGUAAACGAUGCGGACUUGGUGUUGGGGUGGCUUUGAGCUGCUCCAGUGCCGAAGGGAGCUGUUAAGUCCGCCGCCUGGGAAGUACGGUCGCAAGACUGAAACUUAAAGGAAUU
rnacentral:rRNA from 1 species